UUGGCGGUGGCUGAGAGCAAAACCAAAGCUGUCGUCCUUUCUUACUUUCUUUCAAAAACAGACUCGAGUGAGUGACAAAUGAGAGAGAACAAGGGUAAGAGAAACCAGUUACAACUUAGGUGAGCAUCAUAAUCAAUUAGCCAGACCUGAGGAAGGGACUGCAAGAAACGGGAGAAUCGAGUGCUAGGAAUUGAGGAGUUGGAAUAGCAAUUCUAGCAGCCUGCGACAAGAAACCUUAGGCAAGAAUGGUAACCUUUUCACUGUAACUCGCUGAUUAGAUAGUAUAAUUAGCUAAACUUGAGCUGCAGGUAGAGCUAGCUAAGAACUUAGUUUCUGGUGUGAGAAAUGUUAUGCAGAAACUGUGAAAAUUGCAGAAAUUGGAACUUAUAACUGUUCUUAAUAUUUCUUAGGAUGAUAAUGUUAAGAAUCUGCAAUAACUUUAUGCUGACUCGGUAAAAAUGAAUGAAUGAAUACGCUGCAUGUAGUGUUUGAGUAGAAAACUGAGCUUCGACUGAGGAAAGAAACCUGGUGCAGGCUGCUAUGCAUCAGAAUUUGCAACCUUGCGCAGACCUGAGACUUAAUCCAGUUUUCCUUUUAAAUUCUGGUCAUAAACCUCUAUGCUUUGCUUAUGAUAACCUGCAGUAGAUUAAGUAUCCUCUGCAUGAAUGAUUGAGACCAAAAACUGAGGAAGUGAAGGUAAGAAAAUGUCAAACGAUAAACUGUGGUCUUGCUGGAAACUUUGUGACUGCAACCGAGAGUGAAAAAGAAAGAAACUUUGGCGAUCCUCUACAACUUUAGCUCCUAAACCUGUGUAGUAAGUGUAACAUGUCAUACAGACCUUAAACCUCAACAAGGAAGAUUGAAACCAGUAGAAACUCAACUAAACAUUAAAGGAGGAAUGAGUGCAGGUGAUGGCAGGUUGGUUGGCCGAGGGAAUGAAGCAGAGUGUGCUUCUGACCAUCCAUUUUUUACCCUGAAAUGGCGAGAACUGGGUGUCAUUGUCUUCAUAGGAAAUGUAGGUCUAUGUAUUAGCUUCGAAACGCUAUAAAAUUUGCCUCAAUCCGAUAAGUGUAGCUUCAGUUGUGAUCAAAACACCAGAGGUUGGCAAAGCUGCCUUUCUCGUUGCCUUUCUCUUUUUCUUCCGAAUGCAUUCUACUUGAUGCUGGCCGUGAGGAAACUUAUUUUUUUAACAGCAUUUCAUCUAAUUCCCAACCCUGUAAGCAUUCAUAAAUGAUAGUUAAGAUUGCUCUGAGAUUUAACGACUAUAUCUAGUUCCACGAGUAGAGUUAAAUUAAAGCAAAUGAGAGGAAAACUCAUGAUAGUUAUAUACCUAAAUUGGCUUCUAAUCAAUUAAUAUUGUCUUUACAAAUAUGUUAAAAACUAUAAAAUUUGAGGGACGAGUGUAGUGGAAUAAAAUUUAAUUUACAAAUAACUUAGAGUUUAACUAAUUUAAAAAGGGAACCAAUGUAUAUUCAUAAGCUUUAAACUUAGCAUCUUGAGUAGAAAAUGAUUUAAUCCUAAUGUAAACAUUUUAUAAAUUAUUAACUUGGAAAGUAUGAAUAUUUCGUGAUUCAGAUAAUAAAGUUAAUAAGUCUCGAAAUAAAUUGGGGAAUAAAUAUUGCGUAUAUUUUAUAUUUUAAAGUCAAACCUAAUUCGAAUAAUUUAAAUAAUAAGUGAACAUCUACAAAUUAUAAAUUUACCAUGGAAUUAUCUAUUUAUCUCAGGAAGUAGCUGCGAGCCAAGAAACAGACCCGAGGGUCGAGAGUAAAUUAUUUGGAUAAUUGGUGAGUGUUUUCCGAAUUUAUGUGUUUAACUGUUUAUGUGUAUCUAAGUGAAAUUAUGUGACAAAUGUGCUUAUCAUGAAUUAUUACUAAAUGAUUCCUUGUGAAGUGUAUCUCAAUUGUCCCUCGCCUUCUAAGUCGAAGGUGUACUUUAUCGCACUCGGCUUAGUUGAGUUUAAAGGUCGAUAAUUGACUGAAUAUUACUGUAAGUGUGCAUGAAUGUAAGCCGUAUGUGUGCCUCACCGCAUCGGCUAAACUGGGCCCCAAAACCCUCUGUUUAAUGGACUAUUCGAGCCAGCAAAGGACUUGGUCAGGUAGGACGGUAACUUUGGGUAAAUGUUUCAGUAUACUCGAGUAUUACCAUGAGGUUGGGAGAUUAUUGAACUGAUUAUUGAAUGUAGGGGAUUGUUUAUUGUUUUGGAGGACAUAAAGAAGUGAAUCGGCGGAAUGUGCAAUAAUAUUGAAAUGAAUGCACAAUGAUAGUGAAAUGAGUGUCUCUUGACACUAAAAUGAAUGCUCAAUGAUCUUGAAGUGGCUCUAAUGCAAGCACCGUAUCCUUUUGAAAGUGAUUGUUUAGUGAAGUGUUUCCUCAAUUGCUUAAUGAAAGUGAUUGUACAGUAAAAUGUGCACUACUUGCUUAAUUGUACUAAUUUAAGUGUUUAAUUAAAUGUUGCUUACUCGGCAAACCUCACUGAGUUUUAGCUUAGCCUUUUAGUUUUAUUUUUCUUACAGGAGUUGGUGGUCAGGGAACGAAUGAGGUAUCUUAGGGAGUUAACGUGAAGAUUUUUGUGAUUGUAAAUCCUUUAGUUUCAUAUUAUGGUUGAAACUUUUGUAUUGAACUUGGUAUUGUAAAAGAUUUGAGCGUUUGGUUUUGGUUAUCAAAAUGUUAUCUCUGAAGUUAAUGUAAGUAAGUGAGCCCUGACGAGAAUCAGGCAGGCGAUCCGCUAACUUUUAGGGUAUGCCCUAGGAGAAUGUGGGGCUGUCACAAGCAAAACUCUCUUUUGAUUGUUAUGCCAAAUUAAAGUUGUUUGAGAAAUAUUCUCCUAUCGUACUAUUUUUAAAAAUUUUUUGUUCUUAUUUUAUCCAUUAAAAUUCCCAAAAUCAUGUGUUAUUCUAUAAAAUAGAAAGUGAAAAAAAUCAAGGAAAAAAAA
rnacentral:lncRNA from 1 species